UACGUAGGGGGCAAGCGUUGUCCGGAUUUAUUGGGCGUAAAGAGCGUGUAGGCGGUUUGGUAGGUCCGUUGUGAAAACUCGAGGCUCAACCUCGAGACGCCGGCGGAAACCAUCAGGCUAGAGUCCGGAAGAGGAGAGUGGAAUUCCUGGUGUAGCGGUGAAAUGCGCAGAUAUCAGGAGGAACACCGGUGGCGAAAGCGGAUCUCUGGGCCUUACCUGACGCUCAGGUGCGAAAGCUAGGGGAGCGAACAGG
rnacentral:rRNA from 1 species